rnacentral:tRNA from 1 species
GCUGUGGUUCAGCGGUAGAAGAUCUGCUUUGAAGGCAGACGAUCCCAGGUUCGAUCCCCGGCGACUGCA